rnacentral:rRNA from 1 species
CCUACGGGUGGCUGCAGUGGGGAAUAUUGGGCAAUGGGCGCAAGCCUGACCCAGCAACGCCGCGUGAAGGACGAUGGCUUUCGGGUUGUAAACUUCUUUUAUUGAGGACGAAACAAAUGCCGGUACUCAAUGAAUAAGCCACGGCUAACUACGUGCCAGCAGCCGCGGUAAUACGUAGGUGGCAAGCGGUAUCCGGAUGUACUGGGUGUAAAGGGCGUGGAGGCGGGACGGCAAGUCAGAUGUGAAAUCCAUGGGCUCAACCCAUGCCCUGCAUUUGAAACUGUAGUUCUUGAGUGAGGGAGAGGCAGGCGGAAUUCCGGGUGUAGCGGUGAAAUGCGUAGAUAUACGGAGGAACACCAGUGGCGAAGGCGGCCUGCUGGACAUUAACUGACGCUGAGGCGCGAAAGCGUGGGGAGCAAACAGGAUUAGAUACCCCGGUAGUC